rnacentral:rRNA from 1 species
UUGUGCGGUGGCCUGUGCAGUGCUGUGUUGCAUGCGUGUGUGCGUGGCGUGGUGUUCGUGUGGUGGUUGAGAACUGUAUCAUGAAUGCUAGUAUCUUUAUUGUUGUAUGUGUUUGUGCGACGUGGUGUUGUGCAAAGUUGUGUAUUGCGAUCGGUGGAUGCCUUGGCACCAAAAGCCGAUGAAGGACGUUGUGACCUGCGAUAAACCCUGGGGAGUUGGUGAGCGAGCUGUGAUCCGGGGGUGUCCGAAUGGGGAAACCUGGAAUGUCCGGAGUAUUGUCCGGUGGCCCUGCCCUGAAUGUAUCCGGGUGUGGGUGGUAACGCGGGGAAGUGAAACAUCUUAAUACCCGGACGAAAAGAAAACCCGUGUGAUUCCGUGAUCUUAGUACACCGAACAAGAGAAAGAAAAAUCGAUUCCCUGAGUAGCGG